rnacentral:sRNA from 1 species
GUUUAUCCUGUUAUCAUCUUGCUAUUACACUGUUGUUAUCAUGUUUUCAUUCUGUUCAACGUUUAUGUUCUCUACAAUGAUGUCUAAGUAGUGAAUAAGUUUCUGAGGAUGGGUUAGAGUAGUGUAGAAUUCUCAGUAUGCUAGGUGGUUCAGUUUGAUUGAUAGAUCCCUUCUGGAUUA